ACUGGGGCUCCUGAGAGAUUCUCUAGAAAAGGGAAUAGGAGCUUCCAUGGACCCCUGAUCACUGCUGGAGGAGAAUUGCCCUGUGGAUGUGAUGACCAACGAUUGUGAUUUUCCGGUGAUGCACCCAGCAGGAGUGAGGAGAAUUUAUCUUCAGGAUAAACUUCAUUAUUCUACAGUGUCUCUUCAUUUGCCCAGGAGCUGAAUUUUACAAGAACUUUUCAAGUUUCAAAACAAGAUGUCAAUUUUUGAGUGGAAAUGCUGUAAAUUCAUCGAUUAUUAGGAAAUUGGACAUCUUUACGGUGACCACUUUCCAACCAGAAACACGUUAGUGCUCUCCUUUUAUCAGACCCUCAUUAUAUCUCUACACAAUUGCUUUUUAGAUACAUUCUUCACAUUUGGGAAUUCAUUUAUUCAUUCAUUAAAUAAUGAUUGAACAUUUUCCACAUGCUAAGCACUGUUUUAGAAACCGAAGAUAUGAAAUUGAAGAGACUCGACAUGAUCCUUGCCCUGAUGGAGCUUAAAUCCUACUGAAAGGAGACAGAACAUAAAAGGAAAGCAAAGAGAGAGUUGUUUUUGAUGGUCAUGCCUAGGACUUUUAUAUAUCUUUGUACUGAAAAUGUAUAUGUGUAUUUUGAAUUAUUUCCUUAGGAUAGAAUUUCAGAGGUUAAAUUCUUAUAUCUAAGAUUAUGAAAAUGGAUAAAGUUUAAACAUACAGGAAUUCUUUAUAGAAGUAACCAGUUGUGACUGGAUGGCACUACAGGUCACAUUUCUUCAAGCCUCAAAG
rnacentral:lncRNA from 1 species